GAUGAACGCUGGCGGCGUGCCUAAUGCAUGCAAGUCGAGCGGGGUGAUCUUCGGAUCACUUACGCGGCGGACGGGUGCGGAACACGUGGGCAACCUGCCCUGAGGUGGGGGAUAGCCGGUGGAAACACCGGGUAAUUCCGCAUAGCGUCACUGACCGGAGGGUUGGUGAGGAAAGGGUCUUUGACUCGCCUUGGGAGGGGCCUGCGGCCGAUUAGCUAGACGGUGGGGUAACGGCCUACCGUGGCGAUGAUCGGUAGCUGGUCUGAGAGGGCGGCCAGCCACACGGGGACUGAGACACGGCCCCGACUCCUACGGGAGGCAGCAGCAAGAAAUCUUCCGCAAUGGGCGAAAGCCUGACGGAGCAACGCCGCGUGUGGGAUGACGCCUUUCGGGGUGUAAACCACUUUUCUCAGGGAAGAAUUCUGACGGUACCUGAGGAAUAAGGACCGGCUAACUACGUGCCAGCAGCCGCCGUAAGAC
rnacentral:rRNA from 1 species